UCCACACAGCUUGAUAGUUGUGCUGUCACUGAUAAUGAGCUACGUUAUUGAAAGGAAAAGGUUGUAGGCUACAUGACGUAAGAUUUCUGUAACGGCUUUUUUAGCCGACAUUGUAUUAUCUGCAUGUCUGAAGCAGCUUCUGUGAGCCUCUGGGGUUUGUGGCCAAAGUCUCUUUCAAAUCUCUGCCGUCCGUCUCUCUCCUUAACAGGUAACUAGGCCAUCUGGAGUCCCUGCGAGAACACACGUUGAAAGAUGCUGAGCUAAGGCCUCAGAGCAGGGCGGACACCCUUCACUGCAUGUUCUGCAUCCCAUCAGGAGGACUGUUGCUUCGAGAGGCUCGUCACCUAGACAACAACAACCCAGUCCCCUUCUGUGUGUGCGGCUGUGGACAGGCGGCGGGCGCUCUGAGCAUCAACCCGACAAUGGCUGCAGUGGAGGCACUCAUGCCAUGGACACGGUAAGACUGGGGUAGAAGUGGUGGGAGUGGUCCUCCGGGUCACGCCUCAGCCCAGAGC
rnacentral:lncRNA from 1 species